UCCUCAGCAUGGACCGCACUUGUGAGGAGAGGCCCGCUGAGGAUGGGAACGACGAGGACGACCCAGACUCCAUAGAAGCCCCGACCCGGAUCCGGGACACUCCGGAAGACAUCGUGCUGGAAGCUCCGGCCACUGGGCUGGCGUUCCAUCUGGCCCGUGACCUACUGGCUGCAGGGGACGUGGACGGGGACAUGUUCCUCUUUUCCUACUCUUGCCAAGAGGGAGAAACCAAGGAGCUCUGGUCAUUGGGUCACCAUCUCAAGGCCUGCCGAGCUGUGGCCUUCUCUGAAGAUGGGCAGAAGCUUGUUACUAUCUCCAAGGACAAAGCCAUCCAUGUUCUAGAUGUGGAGCAGGGCCAACUAGAAAGACGUGUUUCCAAGGCUCACGGUGCCCCCAUCAACAGUCUUCUGCUGGUGGAUGAGAAUGUUCUGGCCACUGGGGAUGACACGGGUGGUAUCCAUCUCUGGGACCAGCGGAAGGAGGGCCCCUUAAUGGAUAUGAGGCAACAUGAAGAGUACAUCACAGACAUGGCUCUGGAUCCAGCCAAGAAGCUGCUGCUAACAGCCAGUGGGGAUGGCUGCCUUGGCGUCUUCAACGUUAAGAGGCGUCGGUUUGAGCUGCUCUCAGAGCCUCAGUCUGGGGAUCUGACCUCUGUCACCCUCAUGAAAUAUGGGAAGAAGGUGGCCUGUGGGUCCAGUGAAGGUACCAUCUACCUCUUCAACUGGAAUGGCUUUGGGGCCACAAGUGACCGCUUUGCCGGCUCCACCAAUGGAGUCAUCAGGGCUGUGAACAUCCUACCGAACCGAGUGGUGGGCAGUGUGGGCCAGCACCCUGGGGAGCCUGUGGAGGAGCUGGCCCUUUCCCACUGUGGCCGCUUCCUGGCCAGUAGUGGUCAUGACCAGCGCCUCAAGUUUUGGGACAUGGCCCAGCUGCGAGCUGUGGUGGUGGAUGACUACCGUUGGCGCAAAAAAAAAGGGAGGACCACUGCGGGCUCUGAGCAGCAAGACUUGGAGCACUGAUGACUUCUUCGCAGGACUGAGGGAAGACGGAGAAGACUCCAUGGCUCAGGAAGAAGAGGAGACUGGGGAUGACAGUGACUGA